rnacentral:rRNA from 1 species
GACGAACGCUGGCGGCGUGGAUUAGGCAUGCAAGUCGAACGGUAUCAUCCUUUCGGGGGUGAGAGAGUGGCGAACUGGUGAGUAACACGUAGGUUAUCUACCCUCAAGACGGGGACGACCCAGGGAAACUUGGGCUAAUACCGGAUGUGAGCAACUUUUAGUUGUUUGAAAGGUGGCGUAAGCUGUCGCUUGGGGAUGAGCCUGCGUCCUAUUAGUUAGUUGGUGAGGUAACGGCUCACCUAGGCAAUGAAUAGGUAGGCGGCCUUAACGGGUGGUCGCCCACACUGGGAUUGAGAUACGGCCCAGACUCCUACGGGAGGCAGCAGUCGAGAAUAGUCUACAAUGGUCGGAAGACUGAAUAGUGCGACGCCGCGUGAACGAUGAAUCCCUUCGGGGGUGUAAAAGUUCUUUUAUAUGUGAGCAGUGCUUCUUAUUAAUUAACAGUAUGGGGAGAGAGAUAUUAGCAUAUGAAUAAAGCAACGGCUAACUCCGUCGCCACGCAACGCCGGACGGUAAUUA